ensembl:lincRNA
AAUUUUGGGGAGGGUGAUAAAGGAUCACUUCAGCAACUUACUCUCAGCAAAAUUCUUUGUUCUUGUAAUUUGUACCUGCAACUUUCAUUAAUGUUUUAAGAUUUUGAAAUUGGAAGAUUACUAAUUGUUAAGAAUUUAAUAAUAGGGGCCAGGGGUUUACCUCAGUGAUGCCUCGCCUGCCUCCCUAGUGCAAGGUCCCAAAUUCAAUCCCUGGUACCAAAAACAAAAACAAACAAAAAAAAGAAUUUAAUAAUAAAGCAAGAUUACCAGGCUGAGGAUUUAGCUCAGUGGUCCCGAGUUCCAUCCCCAGUACAAAAAAAAAAAAAAAAUUACCUCAAUUGUCCAAGCAAAAGUCGGUGGUAAUGGUAAUGGAGGUAGACUUGGUUGAAGUGUCUGAAUUUGGAAUGUAUUGUAGCCUUGGAAUGACAAGAUUUUCUGGCUUUUGUCAUGAGUACUUGGAUUAACAGUGGUACAAUCUAAGGACAGGAGAAGACUCUGGAAGAUGUGGAUUACUGAGUUACAGGGAAUGAAGGGUUCCGUUUGGGGUGUAUUUUUCCUUUAUUACUGCUUCCAUGGAAUUCAGAAUUCACUGGCUCAAAAUGACAACCAUUUGUUUAGGGUUCUCAGCUCAAUCUGGGCUUGCCUUCAUUGGCCUGAUGGUCCGACCAGGGUCAUUCUUGGGCUAAACUUGAGCUGGACGAUUUCAGGUGAGACGAAGAAGGCAACAGAGAAAACUUUGGUAACAAGGACUCACAUCGCUCACACUAGGGGCCCCAAUGACGCUGUACAAUGGUCAAAUCUUAAACGCCACAGGGUAAAUAUGCUUAUCUUCUUGGAGUGUAAUUUUACUCAGUAAUAAUCUUAAAUAUUUUGUCUAUUAAAAUAAAAGGACCAUAUCAGGGACAAUUGUGCAAGAUUUGAGCACAUUUUCAAUAUAUUAUGUUGUGUUUCUGCCAAAAAUUGUAUGCCUGUGGGGUUUGGACUACAUUGAAUCAACUCAGCUCCUGAAGGGCUAGGGACUGAGACAUAUGGGUCCUUACCAAGUCUGUCUGACCCAGCCCUGGCAAAAACAGAACAAAACAAACUCUGAAUGAGAAUCACCCACAUGCAUUGUCAAACAGACUGGCUGGAAGAAGUGAGUACUGUGUGUGACUACACUGGCAGAAAAAAGUGGACAAUCUGACCAAGCAACUCUCCCUGACUGUGCUCCAUGUGCCUCUUUCCUUGGCUGAUUUUUUGUUGUUGUUGUUUUUUUACAGUAAAAAGCCACAACCAUGAGUAUAACACCUUCCAGUGAUUUCUGAAAUGUCUUCUCGAAAACAGGCCUCUAGGAAUCCCUAACUUGUCACUGGUGUCAGAAGUGAGAACAGUUUGGGGGACUCUCAAAGUUUGCACUUUGGGACCCUUAUUUUCCUCUGCUGAUACAGAUUCUUGGAUGAACAAAUUUGAGAAACACUUAUUUAGACCCAUUUCCUCUAAACUAUUAUAAUCCAGCAACAUUUAUUGAUCAUUUAAACUGCAGAGAGGCACUGAAAUAAGUAGCAGGAAUAUAAACACACAGUCCAACUUCUCCCAUCAAGAAGCUCACAGUAGCCGGGCAUGGUGGCACACACCUGUAAUCCCAGCACUCAGGAGGCUAAGGCAGGAGGAUCGCUGUGAGUUCGAGACCAGCCUGGGCUACAUAGUGAGUUCCAGGUCAGUGUCAACUACAUAGUGAGACCCUGUCUCAAAAAACCAAAAAAAACAAAAGAAGCUCACAGACACUGCCCUAUAGGACUUAGGAAAGAGGAAUGAACAAGAUGGACCUAUGUGCUGUGAUCAAAAUAUACGGUGAAUAUUUAAAUACAUGUAUCACAGUAAAAGACACAUUGACAUUAAUCCCCUCAACCUACUCCCCCUCACUUCAAACACGCUUAUCCCAUUGCUCCUGCCAAUUUCUGAAGCAGUUCUGGAAGUCUCCUUUCAUGUCUUUGCAAUAUGUGAUCCAAAAUCCAGUUAAUGCUGCUCCCCAGUGCCAUCCAACAAAAAGCAAGCUCAUAAAAACAUUACAAUGUGUCCUCACCAACCUUGUUCAACAGAUCUAGUACCAUGAAACUUCUUGCUCUUCCCCAAGAUCAAAAUGACAAUGAAAGGUAAAUAUUUUGAAUGGAUUCAGGACAUCACGUCAGCCAUGACAGCCAAGACACUCACAAAAGAGGACUUUCAGAACUAUUUCAGAAAGUGCCAAGAACCAUGGAAUAAUUGUAUGAACGGGGGCGGGGGAGCUGGACAUUGUGAGGGAGAGUAUUGACAGCGUGUCUUUUACUGUAAUAAAAAUCUAAACAUUCAUUGUAUUUUUCCCUCAUACCCAAUGCCUUUGAAGCCUACCCCAAGUUAUAAAUGAGUAGGUGGCCAGGAACCCUUAAACAUUUACACUGACACCAACUUCAUUUCGGUAUCCU